rnacentral:rRNA from 1 species
GAUGAACGCUGGCGGCGUGCCUAAUACAUGCAAGUCGAGCGAACGGACGAGAAGCUUGCUUCUCUGACGUUAGCGGCGGACGGGUGAGUAACACGUGGAUAACCUACCUAUAAGACUGGGAUAACUUCGGGAAACCGGAGCUAAUACCGGAUAAUAUAUUGAACCGCAUGGUUCAAUAGUGAAAGACGGUCUUGCUGUCACUUAUAGAUGGAUCCGCGCUGCAUUAGCUAGUUGGUAAGGUAACGGCUUACCAAGGCAACGAUGCAUAGCCGACCUGAGAGGGUGAUCGGCCACACUGGAACUGAGACACGGUCCAGACUCCUACGGGAGGCAGCAGUAGGGAAUCUUCCGCAAUGGGCGAAAGCCUGACGGAGCAACGCCGCGUGAGUGAUGAAGGUCUUCGGAUCGUAAAACUCUGUUAUUAGGGAAGAACAUAUGUGUAAGUAACUAUGCACGUCUUGACGGUACCUAAUCAGAAAGCCACGGCUAACUACGUG